UGGGCGGGGUGCUAUACAUGCAGUCGAGCGGACAGAAGGGAGCUUGCUCCCGGAUGUUAGCGGCGGACGGGUGAGUAACACGUGGGUAACCUGCCUGUAAGACUGGGAUAACUCCGGGAAACCGGAGCUAAUACCGGAUAGUUCCUUGAACCGCAUGGUUCAAGGAUGAAAGACGGUUUCGGCUGUCACUUACAGAUGGACCCGCGGCGCAUUAGCUAGUUGGUGGGGUAAUGGCUCACCAAGGCGACGAUGCGUAGCCGACCUGAGAGGGUGAUCGGCCACACUGGGACUGAGACACGGCCCAGACUCCUACGGGAGGCAGCAGUAGGGAAUCUUCCGCAAUGGACGAAAGUCUGACGGAGCAACGCCGCGUGAGUGAUGAAGGUUUUCGGAUCGUAAAGCUCUGUUGUUAGGGAAGAACAAGUGCGAGAGUAACUGCUCGCACCUUGACGGUACCUAACCAGAAAGCCACGGCUAACUACGUGCCAGCAGCCGCGGUAAUACGUAGGUGGCAAGCGUUGUCCGGAAUUAUUGGGCGUAAAGGGCUCGCAGGCGGUUUCUUAAGUCUGAUGUGAAAGCCCCCGGCUCAACCGGGGAGGGUCAUUGGAAACUGGGAAACUUGAGUGCAGAAGAGGAGAGUGGAAUUCCACGUGUAGCGGUGAAAUGCGUAGAGAUGUGGAGGAACACCAGUGGCGAAGGCGACUCUCUGGUCUGUAACUGACGCUGAGGAGCGAAAGCGUGGGGAGCGAACAGGAUUAGAUACCCUGGUAGUCCACGCCGUAAACGAUGAGUGCUAAGUGUUAGGGGGUUUCCGCCCCUUAGUGCUGCAGCUAACGCAUUAAGCACUCCGCCUGGGGAGUACGGUCGCAAGACUGAAACUCAAAGGAAUUGACGGGGGCCCGCACAAGCGGUGGAGCAUGUGGUUUAAUUCGAAGCAACGCGAAGAACCUUACCAGGUCUUGACAUCCUCUGACAACCCUAGAGAUAGGGCUUUCCCUUCGGGGACAGAGUGACAGGUGGUGCAUGGUUGUCGUCAGCUCGUGUCGUGAGAUGUUGGGUUA
rnacentral:rRNA from 1 species